GACGAACGCUGGCGGCGCGCUUAACACAUGCAAGUCGAGCGAGAACCAGGGCUUCGGCCCUGGGGACAGCGGCGAGCGGGUGAGUAACACGUGGGUAAUCCACCCUCGGCACCGGAAUAGCCCGGGGAAACCCGGAUUAAUGCCGGAUGGCCCGCCGGCCCUGCGGGGCUGGCGGAAAAGGUAGCUUCGGCCUCCGGCCGAGGACGAGCCCGCGACGGAUUAGCUUGUGGGUGGGGUAACGGCCUACCAAGGCUGCGAUCCGUAGCUGGUUUGAGAGGACGAUCAGCCACACUGGGACUGAGACACGGCCCAGACUCCUACGGGAGGCAGCGGUGGGGAAUCUUGCGCAAUGGGCGAAAGCCUGACGCAGCGACGCCGCGUGAGGGAAGAAGGCCUUCGGGUUGUAAACCUCUUUCAGGGGGGACGAAGCCACUCGGGUUAAUAGCCCAGAGGGUGACGGUACCUCCAGAAGAAGCCCCGGCUAACUACGUGCCAGCCGCCGCGGUAA
rnacentral:rRNA from 1 species